CUAAGCAAAUGUUGCAAUGGAGAUGAAGCUUGUAAACGCUACCCAAAUAUCCUUCAGUCAUGGAGAAUAGUAUUAGCUCCUGUCUGAAGCUCACAAUCACAUAUCUCACUGGACACACAGACUUCCACAUGGCACCCUAUGCAAGUAUAGUACAAUCCUCUCCUCCCCUCUUCUCCUGUUGUUAGUAUACAGUGCUGCUGGCUGCCUGUGAUUGUUCAUGUCUAUGCAUGAGUAUGUGUUUGUCUGCAUUCAUGGACCUGUUGGAUGUGAAUGUGUGUACAUGCAAAUGUGGGCUUCUGUGUGUGGCAGAGAGUGCCAUUUAGUGGCAGCAGCCAGGUCACACAUGUUACAAGUCAGUAUUGGACGUCCAUCCAUGUCUGAGGUCAUCGGGAGAUGACGUGGAAACCGGCCUCUCGGGGCAACAGUGAGCGCUGUUUCGGUUUAGUUUUUUGGUAGGUUUGGGUUUUAGUAGGGCAUUGUGGACGGGGAUGGUGGAUGGGCGUAAGCAUCUGCCUCUGAUUCCAAAGGUUGCAGGUUUGAAUCCAGCGAUAUCAAGUAAUUUUUAUUUUAAGCCUAUCCUAAACCUUAACCCUUAGCUUAACCAUUCGGAGUUAAUGCCUAAACCUAACCUUAAAAACUUUGAAAUUUGACGUUUGCAACAAUUUCAAAGCGUCUAAUUCUGAUGUGAAACUGUGAGAACUAGUUGUUUUCAGAUGGAUCCUCUGCAGUCCAGCUGCUGUGUGUGUGUGUGUGUGUGUGUGUGUGUGUGUGUGUGUUGGUGUGUGUUAGUGCUGUGUGUUAGUGGUGUGCGUUAGUGCUGUGUGUUAGUGGUGUGUGUUAGUGGCAUGUGUGUUAGUGGUGUGUGUUAGUGGUGUGUGUUAGUGGUGUGUGUUAGUGCUGUGUGUUAGUGGUGUGUGUUAGUGGUGUGUGUGUUAGUGGUGUGUGUUAGUGGUGUGUGUUAGUGGUGUGUGUUAGUGGUGUGUGUUAGUGCUGUGUGUUAGUGGUGUGUGUUAGUGGUGUGUGUUAGUGGUGUGUGUUAGUGGUGUGUGUUAGUGCUGUGUGUUAGUGGUGUGUGUUAGUGGUGUGUGUUAGUGGCAUGUGUGUUAGUGGCAUGUGUGUUAGUGGUGUGUGUUAGUGGUGUGUGUUAGUGCUGUGUGUUAGUGGUGUGUGUUAGUGGUGUGUGUUAGUGGUGUGUGUUAGUGGUGUGUGUGUUAGUGGUGUGUGUUAGUGGUGUGUGUUAGUGGUGUGUGUUAGUGGUGUGUGUUAGUGGCAUGUGUGUUAGUGGUGUGUGUUAGUGGUGUGUGUUAGUGGUGUGUGUUAGUGGUGUGUGUUAGUGGUGUGUGUUAGUGGCAUGUGUGUUAGUGGUGUGUGUUAGUGGUGUGUGUUAGUGCUGUGUGUUAGUGGUGUGUGUUAGUGGCGUGUGUUAGUGGCGUGUGUUAGUGGUGUGUGUUAGUGCUGUGUGUUAGUGGUGUGUGUUAGUGGCGUGUGUUAGUGGCGUGUGUUAGUGGCGUGUGUUAGUGGCGUGUGUUAGUGGUGUGUGUUAGUGCUGUGUGUUAGUGGUGUGUGUUAGUGGUGUGUGUGUUAGUGGUGUGUGUUAGUGGUGUGUGUUAGUGGUGUGUGUUAGUGGUGUGUGUUAGUGGCGUGUGUUAGUGGCGUGUGUUAGUGGCGUGUGUUAGUGGCGUGUGUUAGUGCUGUGUGUUAGUGGUGUGUGUUAGUGGCGUGUGUUAGUGGCGUGUGUUAGUGGUGUGUGUUAGUGGUGUGUGUUAGUGCUGUGUGUUAGUGGUGUGUGUGUUAGUGGUGUGUGUUAGUGGUGUGUGUUAGUUCUGUGUGGUAGUGGUGUGUGUUAGUGGCAUGUGUGUUAGUGGUGUGUGUUAGUGGUGUGUGUUAGUGGCGUGUGUUAGUGGCGUGUGUUAGUGGUGUGUGUUAGUGGUGUGUGUUAGUGCUGUGUGUUAGUGGUGUGUGUUAGUGGUGUGUGUUAGUGGUGUGUGUGUUAGUGGUGUGUGUUAGUGGUGUGUGUUAGUGGUGUGUGUGUUAGUGGUGUGUGUUAGUGGUGUGUGUUAGUUCUGUGUGGUAGUGGUGUGUGUUAGUGGCAUGUGUGUUAGUGGUGUGUGUUAGUGGUGUGUGUUAGUGGCGUGUGUUAGUGGUGUGUGUUAGUGGUGUGUGUUAGUGGUCUGUGUUAGUGCUGUGUGUUAGUGGUGUGUGUUAGUGUUCUGUUACAGCACUACGCAACACAACCCCAGGGUAAGACUGGAUACCACAGCCGUAUAAUGCUACUAUAGGACCCUCUGUUUGGUACGUAGCCAAAGAAAAACAGCCCAACAACAAUUUAAUAUCUCAUGAUCUCUAUGUUCUACUUCUGAGAUGGUUGUUGUGAUUGUUAAAAAUAUUAAAUUAAGCAAAUUUCUGUAUUUUGUUGUUGUUGAUAGAAACAAUAAAUGAUCCAGACAGAAAUACAACCCAAUCAAAAGCACCAGGCACAAAGCAGCAUCCUAAUGAAUGUAAAUACAGAGAAUUAGUUCACAUGUCCUCUACACCAUACCCACGCCCCCUCCACUGCCUCUGCUGCCAUUCACACACAGCCCUCAUCCUCCAUCCAGACCUCUGUGCCCUGUCCAUCUUGCUCUCUACCAACAGUUAGCAUUAGCUACCCAGCGGAAUGAAGAGAAAGCACAAUACCUGUUUUAUAGUUGUCAGCCUCCUUUCUUCUCCUCUUUUUCCUCCUUCCCUCGUUCCCUUCUUCCCUCGUUCCCUUCUUCCACAAAGGAGCCGAGCGGAGCAGGAAUGAAUCCUUCCCGCGAUGUGAAAAUGGCACCAGUAUUCCCUGUCAGCCGCGGCAGCCUCUCUCUCUAUUUCUCCCUCUCACUCACGCUCUCACUCUCUAGCUUGCCUCCCUCCUUCCCC
rnacentral:lncRNA from 1 species